UGUGGGGUCCACUCCAGCCCCUUCUCGCUACAGAACGGUAAAAGCCCCAGCUGAGCACGAAGACGGAAACGCUUGCCGUCCUGCCUCUUCCCGGGCCCUCUUCUCAUGAGGCGGGACCAGAUGGACUGUUCUCCAAGGGAUGGAGCUUCUCUAGAACAGCACUGCGGUGAGACAGGUCUACCCGAAAGGCUUGGUGAGCAUGAAACCGGAGCCACAAUGGUGUCAGACUUAACACGGUCCAGGGUGUCCACCUCCACCAUGGACAUGGCUUAGCCAAUGGACACAGGAUGCAGAAGCUGAGGGCGGCAACCUUUUCUAUCCUGUUCACAGUCACAUCCCAUGCCCAGCACAGUGACUGCCUGUCCCAUCACAGGUGCUCAAGAGUUGUUUGUUGAGUGAAUAGAUAAAUAAAAUAUUUUAAGCUCCUUGGAAGUGGGUUCUGAAGCUGGGCCUUCGAAUGCCUGAGAGCAUUUAGCGAGACACUGAGUAUACACAGGGCACUUAC